CGGUGGGCCGAAGGGCCUGUUUCGAGGCUCUAGCUCUAAAGUCUGAAAGAUGGCUUGCUUUCUG